rnacentral:rRNA from 1 species
GACGAACGCUGGCGGCGUGCUUAACACAUGCAAGUCGAACGGGAGGAAAAGAGAAGCUUGCUUCUUUUUGAAUCUAGUGGCAAACGGGUGAGUAACACGUAAACAACCUGCCUUCAGGAUGGGGACAACAGACGGAAACGACUGCUAAUACCGAAUGUGUUCCGGAGACCGCAUGAUUUCCGGAAGAAAGGAUGGCCUCUAUUUAUAAGCUAUCGCCUGAAGAGGGGUUUGCGUCUGAUUAGGCAGUUGGUGAGGUAACGGCCCACCAAACCUACGAUCAGUAGCCGGUCUGAGAGGAUGAACGGCCACACUGGAACUGAGACACGGUCCAGACUCCUACGGGAGGCAGCAGUGGGGAAUCUUCCGCAAUGGACGAAAGUCUGACGGAGCAACGCCGCGUGAGUGAUGACGGCC